GACGAACGCUGGCGGCGUGCCUAAUACAUGCAAGUCGAGCGCAGGAAAUCGACGGAACCCUUCGGGGGGAAGUCGACGGAAUGAGCGGCGGACGGGUGAGUAACACGUAAAGAACCUGCCCUCAGGUCUGGGAUAACCACGAGAAAUCGGGGCUAAUACCGGAUGGGUCAUCGGACCGCAUGGUCCGAGGAUGAAAGGCGCUUCGGCGUCGCCUGGGGAUGGCUUUGCGGUGCACUAGCUAGUUGGUGGGGUAAUGGCCCACCAAGGCGACGAUGCAUGGCCGCCCUGAGAGGGUGAUCGGCCACACGGGGACUGGGAAACGGCCCAGACUCCUACGGGAGGCAGCAGUAGGGAAUCUUCCACAAUGGACGAAAGUCUGAUGGAGCAACGCCGCGUGAACGAUGAAGGCCUUCGGGUCGUAAAGUUCUGUUGUAAGGGAAGAACAAGUGCCGCAGGCAAUGGCGGCACCUUGACGGUACCUUGCGAGAAAGCCACGGCUAACUACGUGCCAGCAGCCGCCGUAA
rnacentral:rRNA from 1 species